CCUACGGGUGGCAUCAGUGAGGAAUAUUGGUCAAUGGGCGCGAGCCUGAACCAGCCAAGUAGCGUGAAGGAUGACUGCCCUAUGGGUUGUAAACUUCUUUUAUAAAGGAAUAAAGUGAGGUACGUGUGUCUUUUUGUAUGUAUUUUAUGAAUAAGGAUCGGCUAACUCCGUGCCAGCAGCCGCGGUAAUCCGGAGGUUCCGAGCGUUAUCCGGGUUUAUUGGGUUUAAAGGGAGCGUAGAUGGGUUGUUAAGCUAGUUGUGAAAGUUUGCGGCUCAACCGUAAAAUUGCAAUUGAUACUGGCCGUCUAGAGUACAGUUGAGGUAGGCGGAAUUCGUGGUGUAGCGGUGAAAUGCUUAGAUAUUACGAAGAACUCCGAUCGCGAAGGCAGCUUACUAAACUGCCACUGACAUUGAUGCUCGAAAGUGUGGGGAUCAAACAGGAUUAGAUACCCGAGUAGUC
rnacentral:rRNA from 1 species